rnacentral:precursor_RNA from 12 species
UCUAUUGAAGCAGAAAUCUCUCUGCUCACGCAGGUAAUUGUCCAUAUCAGAUGUAAUAUUUGUAAUCAUUGAAAUGGACGAUUGUCUGUGUGAGUAGAAGAGAACUACAACUAUUUUAAU